CAAGUCUGUCACGUCACGUGACGAGGAACUAGCCUUAGCGAGGCCAUGGGGGAAAAAGUCUAAUUGGCGGAACUCCUGGGAACUGGGGCGAUGGGCUCUUAGUAUCGGAGGAUUGGAACCAUCUGAUUUUUACCUGAAAUUCCUUAGUCUCUCCUGUGUUGGGGAAAUGGUAAGACAGAUUUUCACCAACAGAGAGCGUUUCUAUCUCUUCUCUACUCCUCCCUUUUAAAAUUGAGAUUCUGACAGUGUAAAUGAGUUAGGACCCCCUUUUGGGGAUCAGGCAUGGUUUUGUGGCUUUAAAAUGCUUUAAAAUUGCUGAAGUUUCUUGGUAUUGGAACUGUUUCUCCUAAGUAACAUUUUAUCAUCACACGUGAAAUACUGUAACUCUCGAUGCCAAAUCCAGGAAAAAUGGGCGGUUAGGAGAAGUCCAGGGAAAGCCGACUGAGCAGGUUGUGAAGAGACCGGGACUUGCUGUGUUGCCCAGGCUGGUCUUGAACUCCUGGUCUUAAGCAAUCAUACUGCUUUGGCCACCCAAAGCACUGGGAUUACAGGCGUGAACCACCACACCCAGCUCUUAAAACCACAGUAUUUCUAGGUCAGUAUAACACACCUGCCCCAGGGACUUACAGGUGUGGCAGAAGCUUGGACUUCUGGCUUUUCUCUCUCUUGCACCCAGGCACGCUGCAGCUACCAUUUCCUCCCUUCACUACGUUUUAGAUUCUUUCCUUUUCAUUCCUGUCAUUACCAUGCUAACGUACAUCUCUAUCCACCUUACUGUUGGGCAGGUAUGAGCGGCUUGCUGGCUGUUCUUCCUUGCCUUUUGGUCUGUUUCUACUUAGCUGACUCCUCAAUUGGGGAGAAACAUUCUUCAUCAAUACUAGACUGUUAUAGGCUGUCCCUUGUGAUUUCAAACUCUAGUACCAGAUACUGUUCUCUGGUUGGUUCUUAUGGGCAUCACUUGUUUUUCUGGCUAAAUACUAGAUCUAAGGUAGGAAUAUGGCUUUUGUUUUACUAGCAGUGUUCAAGCCCUACUGUGAGCGCACUGCUAGACUGUCAGAUCUCUGAGAAUUUCAGAGGAUUCCUAUAUAAUGUUAAGUGACUAAACUUAAUAAACUUAAUUAAAAUCAACAUCUCAAGAUAAUGAGACAGUCUCCUCUUCACUCACAAAUUGCUACAAAGAGUUUUUGCUGCUGCAAUAUCUUUUGAUAUGGGGCUGUUCCUCUCUCUGGGGUCUGAGGGAUAUGUGAUUUAAUAGAUUAAUAAGUACCUUGAAGAUGGGGUGCAGUCCUGGGAGGCACCGCAUGGUGGCGACAGCGAUGACCUCAGCCACCAGAUGGGUGUUCAGCAAGUGAUACUGGAUCUCGUGCAGUUGGAAAUCUGAAUUUCGGACCCAGGACUUUGCCAGGAGCCAGGCAAGUGGGGGGUCUGAGGGCAGGAACAGUGUUGGGGUUGGAGAGCUGGGGUUGGGAGGCUGAAUCUGGGAGAAAGAGAAAUUAUUGAACUCCCAUUCCGUAUAUGACAUUAUAGUCAGCAUUCUUGCGGGAAACAGAGAUGACUAAGUAAGAUUAUUGCCUUCUAGGAGGUUAUAGUCUAGCAGGAGGACUGUGAACCCUCCCAGCCUGCCGCUCGCUAGCUGGAGUGCCCUGAUGUCAGGUGGAAGGCAGGAGGGACUGGAAGAAGGGGGUCCAGAAGGAGGCCCUAAUAGUGGUGUGGGAGAAACCUGCUGCUUUGGGGUCGGCGCUCAGAUGGUGGUGGAAUGUGAAGGAGAAGUAGGAGGUGUAAGAUUAUUGACAGUUCUUGUCACCUGAACUGAGAGACAAGUGACAAGUGACAAGUGACAAGUUAAGAAUAGUGAGAGAAGGCCAGGUGCGGUGGCUCACACCUGUAAUGCCAGCACUUUGGGAGGCCGAGGCAGGCAGAUUACUUGAGCCCAGAAGUUCAAGACCAGCCUGGGCAAUAUGGCGAAACCCCAUCUCUACAAAAAAUACAAAAAUUAGCCAGGCCCACAUGGUGGCACAUGCCUGUGGUCCCAGCUACUGGAGGGACUGAGGUGGGAGAAUUGCUUGAACCCAGGAGGCGCAGGUUGCAGUGAGCCAAGAUCGCACAACUGUAUUCCAGCCUGAGUGACAGAGUGAGAUUCUGUCUCAAAAAAAAAAAGAAAUUGCGAGAAAAGAUAUUCAAGAGAUGGUGAGGGUUCAGAGCCAGAGGCCACUGAGAGAUGAGAUAGUGAUUCUGAAAGUGUAGUCCUGAACUGGUAGUGUCAGCAUCACUUUGGAACUUAUAAAAACGCAAACUCUUAGUUCCCACCCCAGACAUACUGAAUCAGAAAGUCUGGUCAUGGGAUCCAGAAAUCUGCAUUUCAACAGGCACUUCAGGUGAUUCUGAUGCACACUGAAGUGUGAGGACCAUUGGAUACAGGAUGAGAACUCCAAGAGGCCAUUUUGACUCUUGAAAAAGUAAUUCUAGUUGGAUAAGGCAGGGGAGACGAGGGUACAGGCAAAUAGUGACAUGAAGACAAGUCUCACUGAGUGAGGAUGGGGUUUGGGAGCCAAGAGCUGGGGGCUGGGUCCCUGGGAGCAGAGGUUGAGGUGAACAGAGUGCAACAUUGUGGGAGAGGUCUGGGGCCCUUACCUGGAUGACCAUGGGCUGCAGCUUCCCAUUGGGCUCCAUCUUCAGCAUAACGAGGGGGGCAGCCAGGUAUUGCUUCUCUCCUCGGAUCACGUUGGCUGGAAUUCCAUCCAGAAGGAUGAAGUCAGCUUCAAACAGGGAACCAUUCUGGGGACAGGAGGGAUGUAUCCGUUUUUAGAGUUCAAAGUCUACCCCCAGGGGGCCAGGGCAAAGGGCAAGAGAUUUAGUCUAGCUUCUUGCCAUUCUCCUGCGUCAGUACCGGAGUCCUGUUGGGAGAACUAGAGCCCCUGGUCCAGUUCCUCUCAUCUUAAAGUGAAGAAACAGUCUGGUGAGGGUAGAUGUCUUGUGCGUGGAUGUGGUGGCAGAUCUGGGUUUGGAACCAGGCCUGCUCAAUCCAGUUGGCAUCACAGGCAUUGUAAACUGACCACCUGUCAAAUGGCCAGGCCCCUUUCUGAUCAUUCCCGAAUGGUCUGCGCUCUGGUUUUGGCUCCUAUCAGCUCAGCAAAUGCUCUUUCAUUCCCUAUUCAAAUCUCACGUCCUCUGCCAAGUAUUCCAGAGAGCUUCCCCUAGCUACCCCUGCCACCGAUACAGCACACACAUGCAUACGCACACAUUUUGCCUAGGCUUGUCCUCAGUACAGUCCAUUGCUUCCAAACCCCGCUCUCUUUUUCUAGAAAGCCUCCCCGAUUCUCCCCACCUGAUGGCACUUCCUCACUUUUCUCCCUGCCCGUGAACACUGGAGUCCAGAACACUGUGGCCAGGCAGUGUCACUGUUCCUGCUAACAUCUCUAGCCCCUCUCUGUGUGCUGGGGAUCCAUUCUAUUUUCCCCUUCCUGCUGGGAGCUCCUCAUAGUUUCUUCCCCUACAUAUUUUAUUUCUGUAUUUUUCCAGCACAGGACUGCACCAAGGGGCAACGCAAUACUGCAGCCUUCCUCUGACUCAGUUUGGAUUCUCUCUGUCCUUUCUCACCACACUACUAAGGAGAGAACAGUGCCAGGCAGGGGAAGGAGAGGUACCUGAAGUUCUUUCUCCAGUUGAGCACGAAGCUCUUCCAUCCCCGAGGGCAGCACUAGCCUGGAGGGCAGAGAGGUCGAGCGUCUCAACAGCAUGGGGUUGGCACCAUUGAGGAACUGGUAGCCGAACAACUCAUCAUCCUGCCAGCACUGGCGAACCUUCUCUUUGGUGGGCGGUGAAAGGAGGAUAUAUGUACCACAGCCUGCAUAUCCCUUCUCCAAAAUCUACCCCAGGGGUUCAGGUAUAUAACCCACCCUGAACCCAGCUUCUGCGUUUUCAUUCUCAAGGCCUCUCUGAGUUGACCAGAUAUGAUAAGGUCUCUUCUUGCAAAGAGUUACGGGGGACUGUCUAGUGUGAUGAGUCAUCCAGAGGGGCCAUUAAGGGAUUAUGGAGACCUGGGGGAACCACUGACCAGCCAGGGCACUCUUCUGGCCCCAGAAGAUCUGAUCAAAGUCUUCUAGGCAGUUCCAGGAGCUCAGGAGGGUGUAAACACGUUUGAGGGCCAUCUCCAGAGCCCUAGGACAGGUAUUGAGGCUUAACUCAUCAGCUGAUCCCUCAGUCCCUCACCAUCUACCAUCAUUCUUGGCCCUCCCAGCCCUUAUUUCACUCCGAGGUCUAGCCUUUUUCUCACCCUGCCUUCAGUGUCGAUUCAAAGUCCAGCCUCUUCUCCUCAUGGAAUCUCAUAUUUGGAGGUAGAUCAUCCUUACGGUCUGCAGCGAUGGUCAGGGGUAACCCUUCCUUCCAGGUGGCCCAGCUAGGAGUUGGGGACAAAGCUUCAGGAAGGAUAUCAUGGUCAGUGAUGGGGGCAGGGGCAGGGGCAGGGAAGGGGUGGGACAGUGGUGGCGGGGUUAGUUUAAGGGGCGGGUGGUCACCAGUAGAUCUGCUGUCUGUCUUUCAGUUCCUUCUCUCGAUGCUUCUGGAACACGUCCAAAGCAUUGUCUCCUGGCAGGCGGGCUGGGGAGACAUCAGGACAAUUGGCCUCACGGCUCUGUCUGGUCCUAUGCCCGCCUGUUGUCCUCAUCUCCCUGUGGUUAGCCGUAUUCCAUGUUUUCAGCCAUGCACUGUUGCUUUUAUCUCUGGCUUUGCCUCAUUUGAUUAUCCACCAGACACGUUUAUCCCGUCUUUGCCAACUUUGCACUCCUGCUUUCUCUUAUUUCAGCCCUCAUCCUUUGCCUGUAGAUAAAAACCUCCUGUUUGCCACCAUUUCUUGCUCCUUCACUCAUCUUCCCCUACCUGGCCUUACUUCAUCAAUAUCUAUGGUUAGAAAAAAAUCACCUUAAUUAAGGUGAUGAAAUCUUAGUCACCUAUACACCUACACCUACUGUCUACUACAGAUUGCUUUGAUUAAUUUCACAUCUUAAACCUCACCUGCCACACCUUCACCUGUCCUCAAAAGAUUCUACGUUUGCUUUUUUUUUAAACCUCAUCUUUCUGGAUUUACUAUCAUAAUCUGUAUCUAUGGACUUAUUGUGGGUCUUUUCUGCAUUUACACUCACCUGUCUCAAAGUCAUAGAUUUGAUGUUCCAUCCCUACUGCCCUCACUCAUCUCUGGAUUCAUCUCUCUUUUACUCGUUACCCAUGGUUAAAAAUUCACUAUUUGGGCCGGGCGUGGUGGCUCAAGCCUGUAAUCCCAGCACUUUGAGAGGCCAAGGAGGGCAGAUCACGAGGUCAGGAGAUCGAGACCAUCCUGGCUAAUACGGUGAAACUCCAUCUCUACUAAAAAAAAUAUAAAAAAUUAGCCGGGCGUGGUGGGGGGUGCCUGUAGUCCCAGCUACUCAGGAGGCUGAGGCAGGAGAAUGGCGUGAACCCAGGAGGUGGAGGUUGCAGUGAGCUAAGAUCGCGCCACUGCACUCCAGCCUGAGCAACAGAGCAAGACUCCAUCUCAAAAAAAAAAAAAAAAAAAAAAAAAUUCACUAUUUGCCAUCCUCAUUCCUCCUCGUCUCCUGUGGGCCAGUGUGCUUCUUGUCUUUCACGGGUGUCUUCCGUGUUAUUCCAACCAAACCAGCUCUCCAGCAUCCUAUGUUUGCUUCCCUUAGCUGUCUGCUCUCACGGGUCACCCACCCCCUCCUGUUCCAUGUGGUCCCCUCACCUGACUUCUGAGUCACCUUUACAUCUCCUUCCUAUUUUCACUUUGCUUCUCUGUUUUCCUGGAUCGCUGCAACUCCCACUUUCUGUCUUUGCCUUCUUGGAAGAUGGGAUCUCCAGAUCACUUACUCCCUGCCUCCAGCCUCACACGCAGCCUCUCUUAGCCUGUGUAAAACUUUGGGAAUUCAUAACUCCUUCCCGUUUUCUGUCCAGCACCCUGGGAUCCCUACGUUUCACCUGCCCUGGGCCCAUACAUCCUCUAAGUCUGCUCCGACCGUCCUUAACUCUGUCCUCCUAGCCCCGCAGCAGUUCCCGGGACCUUGUGCCUCCUUCCCCGACGCCGCCUGCUCACCGGUGCCCUCGGGCAGGCUCAGGAUGUCCUCGCCCUGCACCCAGCGGUAGCACGGGAAGGCCACCUCCGCGCAGGCUCCAGGGCCCUGCACCGUGAUGCGGUCGCAGAACCACGCGUCGUCCACCAGCCAGUGGUGCUUGCGCAGCCUCACGAACUGCAGGAGCCCCAAGUCCUCUGCAACGUCAUGAUCAAACUCCUCCUCCUGUGCAGGCCGGACCCAGGCCAGACUUAGUAGGAGGGGCCCGACUGAGGCCGUUUCGAGGACAGAGCCGCGCUCCUGUGCAACCUCAGUUUCUCAUGGCCUCCAAAGACAGCAUCGCCUCGUUCCCGCCCCCGCACAACCUGCUCUUUGGGUCUCAGACGCCCGGAGUCGGGUGGAGGACGAGGGCCCGCAGCGCCUGGAGCUGAUGCUGGAGCAGCAUCGCCCACGUGGGUCCCAUUAACUGAGCUCUCCCCGCGCCGGUGCUUGGAGGAGCUUCACGUCUGAUCUCUGGCCUCAUACUUACAUUGGCUCUGGGUCACUGGGAGAAGGAGCUGGGGGCUGCCGGGACCAGGGGCGGGAAAGGGAGAUGGGGUUGAGCCCAGCCCGGGAUCCCAGCUGCGGACCCUGUCCCUGAUCUUGCCCACCUCGUCCCAACUUCGUGGAAGUCCCAGUCCGCGAGGUCGCGCUGUCACCUCGCCCCCAGCCUCCCGCCCUCCCGCCGCGAGCCCAGCUCGGCCCGGGCCUGGGCCCGGGGUCCCCGCUGCCCCAGCUCCCCUCCCUCCCCGCGCUGACCUCGCCCCGCGCCGGCCGCAGCUGCAGCUCCAGCUCCGCCUCCCCGCGCGCCCCGACCAGCCAAAGCUGCACGCGGUUGUACGACCCGGAGAAGAGCCAAGCCCCGGUGGCCACGCGGAUGCGGUAGCGGCCCAUGGCGCCCCCCAGCAGCUUAGGCGAGGGGAGCCGGGUCCUGUGCGAUUCCCGGGACCGCCCAGGGCUGCCGGCGCCUCGGGGCCACUUCCAACCUUUAAAGGACCGGUCUGCGGCCCCGCCCUCCUCGCAAGUUUUAGGCGCUCCCAAGUCCCCGCCCCAGACUAGCCCAAACCUGCGAGCAGAGCGGUAGAGCCGGCUGCGGGGACUGGCUGUGCCUCCUGGUCGGAGCGUAGCUGCAGGAUGAUAAAGGGGCCCGAGCCAGGGUGAGGCCAACGGGGUGGGUGCGGCGGGACCUUCCUGGACCUCCCGGGAAGGCGGGACCGAGGUGGGCCUGAGCCCCCGGGUUGGAGCGAACAUGGAUGAGAACACUUCCCGAGGUCUCCAGGUCUUCUGGGGAGCCAGGAGGAAGUAGGGGAUGAGUCCAUCUUCCAAACGGAGGGGAAGGUCUCCGCUUUUCUGGGCUGGGACCCGGGGAAGGCGGUGGGCCGGCUUCUGGAAGGUCGGCCUGGGAGGCCGUGCUGGGGUCUGGGGAUGUCCCGCGGCUAGACCCGGCGCGGCCCGUGUGUCCUCCAGUACCUGAGCUCUACCGCCCUUGAACGCUGUACUUCCGUCAACGACCAGGGGUUCCCCAGGGUACCUAGAACCUGGAAAUGUAGCACCUCAACACCCGCUCCCCACCCCGUUUCAAAUAUCUGGGCGCUGGGGUCCCAAUGUACACCAAAUAUCAUGGGCCAGACCUUUGAGAGAGGCCUGAGGCAGGGCAGUGAAAAACUCAUUUUGUCCAACCUCCGAAGCGGGUACAGACAAUGUUAGGGACCCAGGAACACCAGUCGGGGUGUUAGGGUGCGGGAUGGAAUUGCUUAGGGACCUGGCCUACGUGGCCAGUUCCCAAGAACUUUGUCUUUUCCAGGUGAGUGCAGCCCCUUCCGCUCCAGUAGGUUCCAGAUUAAUUUUUUAUCCCCAAGCUCUUUCCUGCUCCUUCAUGGGUCUCAGGUCUCCUGGAAAUCCAGGAACAGCAAUUAGCCCACUGCUAUUUAGGGCCUUUGUAAACAUUGAAGGAUGAUUCGGAGCUUAGGCUUUCUCUCCCGUGCAGGAAUCAGUCAGAUGAAGCCUGCUGCACGCGUCCCUGUCUAGAUCUUGAUCCAAGUGAUUAUAUGCAUUUGGCUCUCCGUGGAUGCAUCUGGUGGCCUGGGCUCGGCCAGUGUAAGGUCCACUCUGGCCUACAUCCUCUGCUUAGGACUGCAGGUCGGCCAUUUGCUGGUCCCCAGUUCUUCCAGUUUUCUGGGGUCACCCUAUUCUGUAAUAUCCAAAUAAAAUGGCUCAAAUUCCCAUCCUGCCUAAUAGGAUCUGGCCUUUCCACACACAUUUUCGUGGGUUACUUUUGCCUAGAAAAGAGUUUGUCUCAUACCUACUUCCAAAAGCACUGUUUCUCUGCUGUUUUGUGACUCAUUUUCUGCCCACUCUAGUGUACUCUACGGCCACGUGCAGAGAGAGGGAAUGAAUAAUUGAAAAAACAGAUUCAAGCUACUGCGCAUGCUAAAUGAGUGAAUAUGGCUAAACAGUGAGAACAGUGCUUGGCGUGUAGUCCCUCUAUGUAUUAGCUGCUAUGAUUGUAUUAUUUACAACUGAAUGUUAGCGUUGCUCCUCUACCGUUCCUCUCCACAUGCUAUUUCUCCAUGUCCCUCUCUAGGCCUAGCCUCUCACUAGAGCUCUUAUCACUCUAGACCCUUCCCCCUCCUGCUUUUGUUUCCCUUUUAAGCACAUGCGCUAUGUUGGGAGAAUAUAAUUAGAAGCAAAAUUUUCUCCCAACCCAGAA